rnacentral:rRNA from 1 species
UGGGGAAUAUUGGACAAUGGGCGAAAGCCUGAUCCAGCCAUGCCGCGUGUGUGAAGAAGGUCUUCGGAUUGUAAAGCACUUUAAGUUGGGAGGAAGGGCAGUAAGCGAAUACCUUGCUGUUUUGACGUUACCGACAGAAUAAGCACCGGCUAACUCUGUGCCAGCAGCCGCGGCAAUACAGAGGGUGCAAGCGUUAAUCGGAAUUACUGGGCGUAAAGCGCGCGUAGGUGGUUCGUUAAGUUGAAUGUGAAAGCCCCGGGCUCAACCUGGGAACUGCAUCCAAAACUGGCGAGCUAGAGUAGGGCAGAGGGUGGUGGAAUUUCCUGUGUAGCGGUGAAAUGCGUAGAUAUAGGAAGGAACACCAGUGGCGAAGGCGACCACCUGGGCUCAUACUGACACUGAGGUGCGAAAGCGUGGGGAGCAAACAGG